GCAAACACAUUCCAGCCAAUCAGCAGCAGACCCUCCCUCCCAGACCCUCCCGCCACCUGGACAGCAUCCAUUUUGAAGCUGCAUUCUUAGUGAGCUGUCCAGGAGGUGGGAGGGUCUGGGAGGGAGGGUCUGCUGCUGAUUGGCUGGAAUGUGUCUG